CUCUGACUCACAGUGGAAAACCAGUGCACACCUAUGUGUUCCAUGACAGACACACCCACUCUAUCACAAAUAUUGAGUGACUCCCUGAGCAGUAGCAAUAAAGGAUUCCAACAAAGGGGGAACACCUGAGCACGCCAUACCCAGGACAAUAACCCCGUAACAGAAAGUGCUCCGGAUGUUUUAGUGACCACAGAUAAUAAGGCUUCCAUUUUAACCAGAUGGUUAGUAAGAAGGCACCUCCCAGCACCAUACUGAGGAAUGUCUCUACCGCUACUCAGGGCCCCGGCUGAGAGAGAUGCCAGGCCUGACUGCAAUGAGAGCGCUUAUGAAGAAUCUUCCUGUUGUACAGGCCAGAGGAGGAGAAGUU